GACGAACGCUGGCGGCGUGCCUAAUACAUGCAAGUUGAGCGCUGAAGGUUGGUACUUGUACCAACUGGAUGAGCAGCGAACGGGUGAGUAACGCGUGGGGAAUCUGCCUUUGAGCGGGGGACAACAUUUGGAAACGAAUGCUAAUACCGCAUAAAAACUUUAAACACAAGUUUUAAGUUUGAAGGAUGCAAUUGCAUCACUCAAAGAUGAUCCCGCGUUGUAUUAGCUAGUUGGUGAGGUAAAGGCUCACCAAGGCGAUGAUACAUAGCCGACCUGAGAGGGUGGUCGGCCACAUUGGGACUGGGACACGGCCCAAACUCCUACGGGAGGCAGCAGUAGGGAAUCUUCGGCAAUGGACGGAAGUCUGACCGAGCAACGCCGCGUGAGUGAAGAAGGUUUUCGGAUCGUAAAACUCUGUUGGUAGAGAAGAACGUUGGUGAGAGUGGAAAGCUCAUCAAGUGACGGUAACUACCCAGAAAGGGACGGCUAACUACGUG
rnacentral:rRNA from 1 species